rnacentral:rRNA from 1 species
AUUGAACGCUGGCGGAAUGCUUUACACAUGCAAGUCGAACGGCAGCACGGACUUCGGUCUGGUGGCGAGUGGCGAACGGGUGAGUAAUACAUCGGAACGUGCCCAGUCGUGGGGGAUAACGUAGCGAAAGCUACGCUAAUACCGCAUACGAUCUAAGGAUGAAAGCGGGGGAUCGCAAGACCUCGCGCGAUUGGAGCGGCCGAUGGCAGAUUAGGUAGUUGGUGGGGUAAAGGCUCACCAAGCCGACGAUCUGUAGCUGGUCUGAGAGGACGACCAGCCACACUGGGACUGAGACACGGCCCAGACUCCUACGGGAGGCAGCAGUGGGGAAUUUUGGACAAUGGGCGCAAGCCUGAUCCAGCCAUUCCGCGUGCAGGAUGAAGGCCCUCGGGUUGUAAACUGCUUUUGUACGGAACGAAAAGGCUCUGGUUAAUACCUGGGGCUCAUGACGGUACCGUAAGAAUAAGCACCGGCUAACUACGUGACAGCAGCCGCCGUAAAAC